GAUGAACGCUAGCGGGAGGCCUAAUACAUGCAAGUCGAACGGUAAGGUCCCUUCGGGGAUACACGAGUGGCGGACGGGUGCGUAACGCGUACGAAACAUACCUUCAACAGGGAGAUACCUCCGGGAAACUGGAAAUAAUACCCCAUAGUAUUGAGAUAUCGCAUGAUAUUUCAAUUAAAGCUUUGGCGGUUGAAGAUUGUCGUGCGUCUGAUUAGCUAGUUGGUGAGGUAACGGCUCACCAAGGCGACGAUCAGUAGCUGGUCUGAGAGGAUGAUCAGCCACACUGGAACUGAGACACGGUCCAGACUCCUACGGGAGGGCAGCAGUAGGGAAGU
rnacentral:rRNA from 1 species